UCAGUGAUUAACUUGUGUUGCUUAGUGUUUCAAUUUUAAGGACUCAGUGACAAACUGAUGCUGUAUUUGUACUUCUAUUUUACUUGUGGGGAAAAUUUGAUGAGUUUUCUAUGUUUCUAUUUUGCAUUUCGUAUUGUUCUGCUGGAUGAGAAUGGUGAUGUGGUGGACUUAGACAAAGAUAAUGAGCUACUGUCUUCGAUCUCAAGUAAACAACAUUUAUUCCAAAAUAGGUGGUCACCUUGUGUGAUAUGGCGAUGUCAACUUAUGAAGGUUUUAUGACUUAAGACAACGGAUACUUGAAAGCCUAAACCUUUGGUAGAGUAAGAAGUGUGGACCAGAAACAGAAUUAGAAGUAUAAGGAGUGAAAAGAAAGAUCAAUUUUUAUGACAUAUAAUAAUAUUUUUUCAUUGUUUCAUGACAUAUAAUAUAUGUGUCUUCUUCAAUUGGAAUUUAUUGUAGAUGUGGGAUUUAUAUUAUGGGUGAAAGCUAUAGUAGGUUCUAUA